GCUCCCAUCGUCUAGUGGCCCAGGACACCGCCCUCUCACGGCGGAGACAGGGGUUCAAAUCCCCUUGGGAGUACCA
rnacentral:tRNA from 1 species